GUUCCAUUAGGUAGUAGGCGGGGUAACGGCCCACCUAGCCGACGAUGGAUAGGGGUUCUGAGAGGAAGGUCCCCCACAUUGGAACUGAGACACGGUCCAAACUCCUACGGGAGGCAGCAGUGAGGAAUAUUGGUCAAUGGGCGAGAGCCUGAACCAGCCAAGUAGCGUGAAGGAUGAAGGUCCUACGGAUUGUAAACUUCUUUUAUACGGGAAUAAAGUAUCCUACGUGUAGGAUUUUGUAUGUACCGUAUGAAUAAGCAUCGGCUAACUCCGUGCCAGCAGCCGCGGUAAUACGGAGGAUGCGAGCGUUAUCCGGAUUUAUUGGGUUUAAAGGGAGCGCAGACGGGAGAUUAAGUCAGUUGUGAAAGUUUGCGGCUCAACCGUAAAAUUGCAGUUGAUACUGGUUUCCUUGAGUGCAGUUGAGGCAGGCGGAAUUCGUGGUGUAGCGGUGAAAUGCUUA
rnacentral:rRNA from 1 species